UACAGAGGGGGCAAGCGUUGUCCGGAAUUACUGGGCGUACAGCGCGCGCAGGCGGUUGCCGACGUGCCGUGUGACAAACGGGGGCUCAACCCCCGAGGGCCACGGUAAACGGGGCGACUGGAGGGAGGGAGAGGGAUGUGGAAUGCCCGGUGGAGCGGUGAAAUGCGUAGAUAUCAAGCGGAACAUCAGUGGCGAAGGCGAGUCCCUGGACAACUCCUGACACUGAGGCACGAAAGCUAGGGGAGCAAACAGG
rnacentral:rRNA from 1 species